AUUGAACGCUGGCGGUAUGCCUUACACAUGCAAGUCGAACGGUAGAGGGGCAACCCUUGAGAGUGGCGAACGGGUGAGUAAUACAUCGGAACGUGCCCAGUCGUGGGGGAUAACGUAGCGAAAGCUACGCUAAUACCGCAUACGACCUGAGGGUGAAAGCGGGGGAUCGCAAGACCUCGCGCGAUUGGAGCGGCCGAUGGCAGAUUAGGUAGUUGGUGGGGUAAAGGCCUACCAAGCCUGCGAUCUGUAGCUGGUCUGAGAGGACGACCAGCCACACUGGGACUGAGACACGGCCCAGACUCCUACGGGAGGCAGCAGUGGGGAAUUUUGGACAAUGGGCGAAAGCCUGAUUCAGCCAUGCCGCGUGCAGGAUGAAGGCCUUCGGGUUGUAAACUGCUUUUGUACGGAACGAAAAGACUCCUUCUAAUAAAGGGGGUCCAUGACGGUACCGUAAGAAUAAGCACCGGCUAACUACGUGCCAGCAGCCGCGGUAAAAC
rnacentral:rRNA from 1 species